UCUCUCUCUCAUGGCUGCAUUCCACUUAAAGCUCGCAAUGCUCGCGAGCAUCGUUUGUCCUCGUUUAACAUUUGAUAAACGACAAGGAUGAAAUGAUUCCAUGAGCGUGUGAC